rnacentral:rRNA from 1 species
UGGGGAAUUUUGGACAAUGGGCGAAAGCCUGAUCCAGCAAUGCCGCGUGUGUGAAGAAGGCCUUCGGGUUGUAAAGCACUUUUGUCCGGAAAGAAAUCCUUGGCUCUAAUACAGUCGGGGGAUGACGGUACCGGAAGAAUAAGCACCGGCUAACUACGUGCCAGCAGCCGCGGUAAUACGUAGGGUGCAAGCGUUAAUCGGAAUUACUGGGCGUAAAGCGUGCGCAGGCGGUUUGCUAAGACCGAUGUGAAAUCCCCGGGCUCAACCUGGGAACUGCAUUGGUGACUGGCAGGCUAGAGUAUGGCAGAGGGGGGUAGAAUUCCACGUGUAGCAGUGAAAUGCGUAGAGAUGUGGAGGAAUACCGAUGGCGAAGGCAGCCCCCUGGGCCAAUACUGACGCUCAUGCACGAAAAGCGUGGGGGAGCAAAACAGGAUUAGAUACCCCUGGUAGUCCACGCCCUAAAACGAUGUCAACUAGUUGUUGGGGAUUCAUUUUCCUUAGUAACGUAGCUAACGCGUGAAGUUGACCGCCUGGGGAGUACGGUCGCAAGAUUAAAACUCAAAGGAAUUGACGGGGUCAUAGCUGUUUCCU